rnacentral:rRNA from 1 species
GACGAACGCUGGCGGCGUGCUUAACACAUGCAAGUCGAACGAAGUGGCGAACGGGUGAGUAACGCGUAAUCAACCUGCCCUUCUAGGGGGGACAAAAGUUGGAAACGACUGCUAAUACCGCAUACUGAAGGUGGGGAUGGUGUCGGAUUAGCUAGUUGGGGGGGUAACGGCCCACCAAGGCGAUGAUCAGUAGCCGGUCUGAGAGGAUGAACGGCCACAUUGGGACGAAGAAACGGCCCAGUGUCCUACGGGAGGCAGCAGUGGGGAAUCUUCCGCAAUGGACGAAAGUCUGACGGAGCAACGCCGCGUGAGUGAUGACGGCCUUCGGGUUGUAAAGCUCUGUUAAUCGGGACGCGGUACCGGAAUAGAAAGCCACGGCUAACUACGUGCCAGCAGCCGCGGUAAUAC